rnacentral:lncRNA from 1 species
CAUCUCCUCAACAGCUUCCUCUCGCGAGGCAGACUGAUCAUUCUUCAGUAAAACGGGUAUAACCUCUGCUACAGGAUGCUGAUUGACCUCAACCCGGUGGCAUUGGAAAGCUAACUCAAAGCUAUAUCUUGUGUCAAAAUAUGGGCGCAAACUAACGGUGGGAAGGUCUCCAUCCAUUGCUAGACAUCUGACGCGUCUGUGUAGUUAUGCACCUCAAAAGACUCCAAAAUCACCAUAUUUCUCCAG